UGCAACAUUGUGGUGAAAAGUGACGACGACGACCAGAGAUGGAAAGCUGCAUGAUUUUCCUGUCUGAAAUUUUUGAGCCAGCCUGCAAGUCUGAGGACAAUCAGUCUGCUGGUGAUUCUCAACAGCUGAACAUGGUAUCAGCUUUUCGUUUGUCUCGGUGGAUUAUCGACACCGGAAAAAUCUGCGUUCUUUUUCCAUUUCUGGGGUUAGAUUUAUGCGAGCAACUGCCAUGGAACCAGAAAUUUCAGGGCAAUCACAUGAAGCCGGAGGUGAGCAAGGUUUAACAUCGUCAAAGGAGCAAAACAGGCUGCGAAGAAGGCGCUGGCCGCGAACGGAAGAAGGAAAAGCAGCCAAUCUGUCCCACAAGCCGCAAGUGGAGAGUCGGAAACGAAGACCAGUCGCGUGUGUGAAAAAAACUUGGUGAUAUUGGACAAUUUAAUGCAAAGAAAAUAUUAUGUAUAUUGUGCCAAGAGUGUUUGAUGUGUUGUGACGUAAUUAACAAUGUGUAAUGUGUGUUAGUAUCAGUGAAAAUAGUCAAAUUUUGAAAAUAAAAUGUGAAAAUAACAAGCCCUUUUUGA